UCGAUGACGGGGAACUUGGAGUUUGGACGCUUAGAAAUAAGUGAGGUUAGCGUGGCGGUUAUAUUUUGUUAGACAUUGUCAUUGCCGAUUCUCAUUUACGCUGCCGCUCUUGUUAUGACAAUACGUUCUCUGUCAUGGUACAGUCCGCGACUCACCAUUCGAAUGUCUCAGAUUAAAAUAUAAAUUACAUUUCAUUUCAUAUUUUAACUAAGUGAUUGGACAAGUACUCUGUAAUAGUAUGAAAGUAACUUACUGCAACAUCGAAAUCGAAGUCGAAGUUCGAGCCCGAGUCGUAAUUCAUGAUCGUGGGCAGUGUUGUCUGUCGUCUGGUGUUCUUGUUGGUAUGAACUUGAUCGCACAAAAGCCUAAAAUGUUCACGAUUCCACCAAUAUGAACCACUUUAAAAAAUACAGUAGAUCGCCAACUAUUCAGAUAAUGAAAAUAUAAAACAUUGAAAGUUAUACAUAUAAUAUACUUUACAAUGACUAACAAACUAAUACAAAGGUUAGACACCGACUGGGCAACGCUACAAUGAUAUCUAAUAAUCAGUUUUCUAUUUUAAUAUUUUAUGGAAUAAUUUUUAUAUAUAAAGAUUAUACAUAAAUAUAUAUUAAAACUGCGGAUAUAUUAUAAUCUACAAUUAUGAUUACGUGGAGUGACAAGAAAUGAUUACAAGUUAUUGAAAGAGUUUUUGUUUGUCCGGUUGAAUUGAUGUUGAGAUAAUUUGUAUUCUGCUGUACUUAAAUGUAUACAUCAAACAAGAAAAUUAUAUCAUACAUAUACAUAUCGACGAAUCAACCAAAUCAAGGCUAGACUAUGAUGGUACCAGAAAAUGGAGAUAAAAUAAAAAUUGAAGUUUGAAUAAUUGAUGAUAUUAUUAUACAAUUUUUUUUGUAUAAAUGACAAGAAUUAUGUGCCAUCAUUUGCAUACAUAACAUUGCUUUAAGCCACAGAUUGAAAACAAGGAUACAAAUGCAAUAUUCCCAUAAAGCAUAAACUACAAGUUACAACUAAACACAAAGCAAGCAGAUCGAAAAAAAUAACAAGUUUGCUUUCACUGUCAUUUACUACAAUUCUUUCUUAAUAGUCUAAACUCUUUCUAACUAAUUUUUAAAAGUCAUACAAAAAUGUCAUCUAUAAUAUAUCAUAUUUUUAAAAAGUAGCAAAUUUGAGCCUGUAAAAGUAUUCAUUAGAAAUAAAACAUUUAUAUGGGUUUUCUCCGGUAUUUAUUUAUGGACCAUAAGCUGAGUUUUGCUAGGUUAUCAAAACUUUUAUUACGGUUUAUACUGGAGAAAAACCGUAAAAAUGAGUUAUUUGUAAUAAAUUUAUUUCUCAGACAUUAAUUACAAAUAAAUAACAAAAGCCCUAAAUGAAUUGUAUCAAAAGACGGAAAAUCAUUAGAAAUAUUGCUAUUUAUUAUAAAAAAAACAGUUGUAUGGUUUUUCCCUUGUGUGAAUCUGUGAUUCUUAAUGUAAAUUUUGCUAGAAAUUUAAAAUGGGUACACUAUUUUACUGAAAAGAUGUUUCUUUCUUUAAUAUAGUAAAAAUGUUAUAGUUAAAUUAAAGAAAAAAAAUCCAAGCCAUUAAUACUGGAAUAACUGUUUGCUUUAUAAUUGCAUGGGAAUGAAAAUACUAAAAAAUGUUCUCCCUUGACCAAUAUCUAAAAAAAUUAACUUAAUAACAUCCAAUAGUUUUGGGUCUAUUUGGGCAUUUUUAUGCUUUGUCUCCAUUCACUAGGGGACCAAAUUACUUUUCCCUUAAAUGUUCAAAAGUGGCAUAAAUUGAAUCAACAAUGGAUAUAUUAUUUUUAUUUAAUUACCUGACAUCUAUUAUUUUUAUAAUUAAAGUAAACACUUUAAACAUUCUAUAAGUCAUUUUUAUGACCAUGAACAAAAAUCAAACAAAUUAGUAUACCUAUUACUUCAAAUAUUUUAUCAAAAAGCUCAAAAACAUUAUAACAGUUAUCUUAAAAACCAAAUUUAAGUCAGCAUUAUACUAUUAACUAUAAACAAAUCAUUUAAAUGGCUUUACUCCUGCAUACAAUUUUGAUUCUUAAUUUAAAUUUUGCUAGGAUAUCAAACUUCCAUUAGAAUUUAUACGGAAGAUAAGCCAUAUGAAUGAAAUGUUCAUAAUAAAUAUUUUUGUCAACUAUAUUAUCCCACUAGUAUUCAUAGUGCUAUACUUUUUUCACCAGAAAGCUAAAACUUUUUAUAAAUUCUUUAUGGUUAAAACGAUUUUAUCAAUCAUAAGCUUUAUGUCAAAAUGUUACUAUUUGUUAUUAAUAAGUCAUUUAUAAGGCUUAUCUCCGGUAUACAAUUUUGGUUCUAAUGUAAGCUUGCUAGGAUAUCAAACUUCCAUUAGAAUUUAUACCGGUGAUAAGCCGUAUAAAUGAGGUGUUAAAAAUAAAUAUUUCUCUCGAUCAUAAUCUUAAACCCAUCCCACUAGUAUUCAUAAUGCUCUACUUAUUUCAUAAAAACCUGAAAAAAAUUAUUUUUUUCUACUAUAAACUCAACCCAGGAGUGUUCAUAGCCCUUAAUAUAUUUCAACAAAAUAUGGAAAAAAUUAUAAACCCAUUUCAAGAAUUAAUUUUAAGUCAAAAUAUGCUAUUUAUUAAAAACAAUUCAUUUAAAUGGCUUUUUAUCCAUAUGAAAUGAAGGUUCUAAAUGUAAAGUGCUAGUUUAUCAAAUUUUCAUUAGGAUUUAUAUUGUUGGGAAUACAUAUCUUUGUCGACUAUAAACCCAAACCCAACCCACUAGUAUUCAUAACCCUGACAUAUUUUAUUGAAAAACUAAAAAACAUUCUAAACCCUUUUCAAGCAUCAAUUCUAUGUCAACAUAUGCUAUUUAUUAUAAAUAAAACAUUUAUUUGGUUUUUCUCCCAUAUAAGAAUUCGGUUCUAAAUGAUUGUUUUGCUGGGUCAUCAAACUUCCAUUAGAAUAUAUAUGGUAGGAUAGCUGUCUGAAUGUAUUGUUGGCAAUACAUAUUUAUCUCGAUCAUAAUCUUAAACCCAUCCAACUAAAAUUCAUAGUGCUCUACUUUUUUCACCAAAAAGCUAAAACUUUUUUAAAUGUUUAAUGGUAAAAACGAACUUCUAAAUCAUAAGCUUUAUGUCAACAUGUUACUAUUUGUUAUUAAUAAGUCAUUUAUACGGUUUUUCACCGGUAUUCAAUUUUGGUUCUAAUGUAAGCUUGCUAGGAUAUCAAACUUCCAUUAGAAUUUAUACCGGUGGAAAGCCGUAUGAAUGAGGUGUUAAUAAUAAAUAUUUCUCUCGAUCAUAAUCUUAAACCUAUCCCACUAGUAUUCAUAGUGCUAUACUUUUUUCACCAGAAAGCUAAAACUUUUUAUAAAUUCUUUAUGGUUAAAACGAUUUUAUCAAUCAUAAGCUUUAUGUCAAAAUGUUACUAUUUGUUAUUAAUAAGUCAUUUAUAAGGCUUAUCUCCGGUAUACAAUUUUGGUUCUAAUGUAAGCUUGCUAGGAUAUCAAACUUCCAUUAGAAUUUAUACCGGUGAUAAGCCUUAUGAAUGAGGUGUUAAAAAUAAAUAUUUCUCUCGAUCAUAAUCUUAAACCCAUCCCACUAGUAUUCAUAGUGCUCUACUUAUUUCAUAAAAACGUGAAAAAAAUUAUUUUUUUCUACUAUAAACUCAACCCAGGAGUGUUCAUAGCCCUUAAUAUAUUUCAACAAAAUAUGGAAAAAAUUAUAAACCCAUUUCAAGAAUUAAUUUUAAGUCAAAAUAUGCUAUUUAUUAAAAACAAUUCAUUUAAAUGGCUUUUUAUCCAUAUGAAAUGAAGGUUCUAAAUGUAAAGUGCUAGUUUAUCAAAUUUUCAUUAGGAUUUAUAUUGUUGGGAAUACAUAUCUUUGUCGACUAUAAACCCAAACCCAACCCACUAGUAUUCAUAACCCUGACAUAUUUUAUUGAAAAACUAAAAAACAUUCUAAACCCUUUUCAAGCAUCAAUUCUAUGUCAACAUAUGCUAUUUAUUAUAAAUAAAACAUUUAUUCGGGUUUCUCCCAUAUAAGAAUUCGGUUCUAAAUGUUUGUUUGCUGGGUCAUCAAACUUCCAUUAGAAUAUAUAUGGUAGGAUAACUGUCUGAAUGUAUUGUUGGCAAUACAUAUUUAUCUCGAUCAUAAUCUUAAACCCAUCCCACUAGUAUUCAUAAUGCUCUACUUAUUUCACAAAAAGCUAAAUUUUUUUAAAUGUUUAAUGGUAAAAACGAACUUCUAAAUCAUAAGCUUUAUGUCAACAUGUUACUAUUUGUUAUUAAUAAGUCAUUUAUACGGUUUUUCACCGGUAUUCAAUUUUGGUUCUAAUGUAAGCUUGCUAGGAUAUCAAACUUCCAUUAGAAUUUAUACCGGUGGAAAGCCGUAUGAAUGAGGUGUUAAUAAUAAAUAUUUCUCUCGAUCAUAAUCUUAAACCUAUCCCACUAGUAUUCAUAGUGCUAUACUUUUUUCACCAGAAAGCUAAAACUUUUUAUAAAUUCUUUAUGGUUAAAACGAUUUUAUCAAUCAUAAGCUUUAUGUCAAAAUGUUACUAUUUGUUAUUAAUAAGUCAUUUAUACGGCUUUUCACCGGUAUACAAUUUUGGUUCUAAUGUAAGCUUGCUAGGAUAUCAAACUUCCAUUAGAAUUUAUACCGGUGAUAAGCCGUAUGAAUGAGGUGUUAAAAAUAAAUAUUUCUCUCGAUCAUAAUCUUAAACCCAUCCCACUAGUAUUCAUAGUGCUCUACUUAUUUCAUAAAAACCUGAAAUAAAUUAUUUUUUUCAACUAUAAACUCAACCCAGGA